UACGUAGGGGGCUAGCGUUGUCCGGAUUUAUUGGGCGUAAAGAGCGUGUAGGCGGCCAUGUAGGUCCGGUGUGAAAACUCGAGGCUUAACCUCGAGAUGUCAUCGGAAACCAUUUGGCUAGAGUCCGGAAGAGGAGAGUGGAAUUCCUGGUGUAGCGGUGAAAUGCGCAGAUAUCAGGAAGAACACCAAUGGGCGAAGGCAGGUCUCUGGGCUGACACUGACGCUCAUGCACGAAAGCGUGGGGAGCAAACAGG
rnacentral:rRNA from 1 species